rnacentral:tRNA from 1 species
GCCCUCGUGGCGGAAUUGGCAGACGCGCAAGACUAAGGAUCUUGUGGGGAAACCCGUGCUGGUUCGAUUCCAGUCGAGGGCACCA